UUCGCAAUGCCCGAAAGGGUGAACGAGCGACGCCGCGUGCGGGAUGAAGGGUUUCGGCUUGUAAACCGCUUUUCUUUGGGAAGAAGGUCUGUCUCGUGCAGAUGGGCUCGACGGUACCAGAGGAAUAAGCCUCGGCUAACUCCGUGCCAGCAGCCGCGGUAAGACGGAGGAGGCAAGCGUUGUUCGGAAUUACUGGGCUUAAAGCGCGUGUAGGCGGAUGGGAACGUCAGAUACUGAAAGCCUCCGGCUCAACCGGGGAAGUGGUUCCGAAACGACCUAUCUGGAGGGACGUAGGGGGAUCUGGAACUUCCGGUGGAGCGGUGAAAUGCGUUGAGAUCGGAAGGAACGCCCGUGGCGAAAGCGAGGUCCUGGACGUCUGCUGACGCUGAGACGCGAAAGCUAGGGGAGCAAACGGGAUUAGAUACCCCGGUAGUCCUAGCCGUAAACGAUGGGCACUAAUAGAGGGGUUUU
rnacentral:rRNA from 1 species